rnacentral:rRNA from 1 species
AGAGUUUGAUCCUGGCUCAGAAUGAACGCUGGCGGCGUGCUUAACACAUGCAAGUCGCACGAGAACGCUUCAGCUUGCUGAAGCUAGUAAAGUGGCGCACGGGUGAGUAACGCGUGGGUAAUCUACCUCCAAAUUGGGGAUAACAUUGCGAAAGCGAUGCUAAUACCGAAUAAUAUCUCAAAUACCUCGGUUUUUGAGAUCAAAGGUGGCCUCUCCAUGGAAGCUACUGUUAGGAGAUGAGCCCGCGUACCAUUAGCUUGUUGGUAGGGUAAUGGCCUACCAAGGCAACGAUGAUUAGCUGGUCUGAGAGGAUGAUCAGCCACACUGGAACUGACACACGGUCCAGACUCCUACGGGAGGCAGCAGUGAGGAAUUUUGCACAAUGGGGGAAACCCUGACGCAGCAACGCCGCGUGAGUGAUGAAGGCCUUCGGGUCGUAAAGCUCUGUCAAGUGAGAAGAACCUGCCCUGUGCUAAUAUCACCGGGCACUGACGGUACCACUGAAGGAAGCACCGGCUAACUCCGUGCCAGCAGCCGCGGUAACACGGGGGGUGCAAGCGUUAUUCGGAAUCACUGGGCGUAAAGAGCGCGUAGGCGGUCUCUUAAGUCAGAUGUGAAAGCCCGGGGCUCAACCCCGGAAGUGCAUUUGAAACGAAGGGACUUGAGUAU